rnacentral:rRNA from 1 species
AACGAACGCUGGCGGCAUGCCUAACACAUGCAAGUCGAACGAGACCUUCGGGUCUAGUGGCGCCCGGGUGCGUAACGCGUGGGAACCUGCCCUUAGGUUCGGAAUAACUCCCCGAAAGGGGUGCUAAUACCGGAUAAUGUCUUCGGACCAAAGAUUUAUCGCCUUUGGAUGGGCCCGCGUUGGAUUAGCUAGUUGGUAGGGUAAAAGCCUACCAAGGCGACGAUCCAUAGCUGGUCUGAGAGGAUGAUCAGCCACACUGGGACUGAGACACGGCCCAGACUCCUACGGGAGGCAGCAGUGGGGAAUAUUGGAGAAUGGGCGAAAGCCUGAGCCAGCAAUGCCGCGUGAGUGAUGAAGGCCUUAGGGUUGUAAAGCUCUUGUACCCGGGAUGAUAAUGACAGUACCGGGAGAAUAAGCUCCGGCUAACUCCGUG